GAUGAACGCUGGCGGCGUGCCUAAUACAUGCAAGUCGAGCGAACGGACGAGAAGCUUGCUUCUCUGAUGUUAGCGGCGGACGGGUGAGUAACACGUGGAUAACCUACCUAUAAGACUGGGAUAACUUCGGGAAACCGGAGCUAAUACCGGAUAAUAUUUUGAACCGCAUGGUUCAAAAGUGAAAGACGGUCUUGCUGUCACUUAUAGAUGGAUCCGCGCUGCAUUAGCUAGUUGGUAAGGUAACGGCAUACCAAGGCAACGAUGCAUAGCCGACCUGAGAGGGUGAUCGGCCACACUGGAACUGAGACACGUUCCACACUCCGACGGGGAGCAGCUGUAGGGAAUCUUCCGCGAUGGGCGAGUGCCUAACGGAGCAACGCCGCGUGAGUGAUGAAGGUCUUCGGAUCGUAAAACCCUGUUAUUAGGAAAGAACAUAUGUGUAAGUAACUGUGCACAUCUUGACGGUACCUAAUCAAAAAGCCACGGCUAACUACGUG
rnacentral:rRNA from 1 species